UUUCCGUAGGUGAACCUGCGGAAGGAUCAUCAACGAGUUAGGGUCUUCUAGGCCCGACCUCCCAACCCUUUGUUUACUGAACCAUUGUUGCCUCGGUGGGUCCGUCUUACGACCGCCGGGGGAUCGCCGCGAGGCGCCCCCUGGCCAGCGCCCACCGAUAGCCCAACCUUUAAAACCCUUUGUGAAUCGUGUCUUAUGUCUAAAUUUAUGAUUAAACAAUCAAAACAAAACUUUCAACAACGGAUCUCUUGGUUCUG
rnacentral:misc_RNA from 1 species